AUUGAACGCUGGCGGCAUGCCUUACACAUGCAAGUCGAACGGCAGCACGGGAGCAAUCCUGGUGGCGAGUGGCGAACGGGUGAGUAAUAUAUCGGAACGUGCCCAGUCGUGGGGGAUAACGUAGCGAAAGCUACGCUAAUACCGCAUACGAUCUAUGGUUGAAAGCGGGGGAUCGCAAGACCUCGCGCGAUUGGAGCGGCCGAUAUCAGAUUAGGUAGUUGGUGGGGUAAAAGCCUACCAAGCCUUCGAUCUGUAGCUGGUCUGAGAGGACGACCAGCCACACUGGAACUGAGACACGGUCCAGACUCCUACGGGAGGCAGCAGUGAGGAAUAUUGCGCAAUGGGCGAAAGCCUGACGCAGCAACGCCGCGUGAGGGACGAAGGCCUCGGUCGGUAAACCUCUUUUCUGGGUAAGAGCAAGGACGGUACCGUCAGGAA
rnacentral:rRNA from 1 species